UUGGAGGGCAAGUCUGGUGCCAGCAGCCGCGGUAAUUCCAGCUCCAAUAGCGUAUAUUAAAGUUGUUGCAGUUAAAAAGCUCGUAGUUGAAUUUUGGAUUCUUCCAAUUGGUCCAUCUUUUAGAUGAGUACUGGUUGUGUGGGGUCUAUCCGCCUGGUAAUACGUAAUGUCCUUUAUUGGAUGUUGCGGGUAGUCAGGACCUUUACCUUGAAAAAAUUAGAGUGUUUAAAGCAGGCUUAUGCCGGAAUACAUUAGCAUGGAAUAAUAGAAUAGGACGAAGUUGUUUUAUUUUGUUGGUUUCUAGGACAACCGUAAUGAUUAAUAGGGAUAGUUGGGGGCAUUAGUAUUCAAUUGUCAGAGGUGAAAUUCUUGGAUUUAUUGAAGACUAACUACUGCGAAAGCAUUUGCCAAGGAUGUUUUCAUUAAUCAAGAACGAAAGUUAGGGGAUCGAAGACGAUCAGAUACCGUCGUAGUYUUAACCGUAAACUAUGCCGACUAGGGAUCGGGCGAUGUUCUUUUUUUUGACUCGCUCGGCACCUUAUGGGAAACCAAAG
rnacentral:rRNA from 1 species